AUUGAACGCUGGCGGCAGGCCUAACACAUGCAAGUCGAGCGGAGCGGCGGACGGGUGCGUAAUGCCUAGGAAUCUGCCUGGUCGUAGGGGCUCCCGUCCGGAAACCGGAACUAAUGCCACAUCCUCUCAGCUGACCCUCGGUCGGAUUAGCUAGAUUGUGGGGGAAAGGCCUACCACGGCGACGAUCCGUAACUGGUCUGAGAGGAUGAUCAGUCACACUGGAACUGAGACAAGGCCCAGACUCCUACGGGAGGCAGCAGUGGGGAAUAUUGGACAAUGGGCGAAAGCCUGAUCCAGCCAUGCCGCGUGUGUGAAGAAGGUCUUCGGAUUGUAAAGCACUUUAAGUUGGGAGGCGUUACCAACAGAAUAAGCACCGGCUAACUACGUGCCAGCAGCCGCGGUAAUAC
rnacentral:rRNA from 1 species